rnacentral:rRNA from 1 species
UACGUAGGGUGCGAGCGUUAAUCGGAAUUACUGGGCGUAAAGGGUGCGCAGGCGGCUUCGCAUGUCAGAUGUGAAAUCCCCGAGCUUAACUUGGGAAUUGCAUUUGAAACUACGAGGCUAGAGUGCGGCAGAGGGAGGUGGAAUUCCACGUGUAGCGGUGAAAUGCGUAGAGAUGUGGAGGAACACCGAUGGCGAAGGCAGCCUCCUGGGCCGACACUGACGCUCAUGCACGAAAGCGUGGGGAGCAAACAGG